UGCAUUUGUGCAUCUAUUGGUUUGGAUCCCU
rnacentral:piRNA from 1 species